UACAGAGGUGGCAAGCGUUGUUCGGAAUUACUGGGCGUAAAGGGCGCGUAGGCGGCCAUCUAAGUCAGACGUGAAAUCCCCCGGCUUAACCUGGGAACUGCGUCUGAUACUGGACGGCUGGAGUUUGGGAGAGGGAUGCGGAAUUCCAGGUGUAGCGGUGAAAUGCGUAGAUAUCUGGAGGAACACCGGUGGCGAAGGCGGCAUCCUGGACCAACACUGACACUGAUGAGCGAAAGCCAGGGGAGCAAACGGG
rnacentral:rRNA from 1 species